CCUACGGGGCGCAGCAGUGAGGAAUAUUGGUCAAUGGCCGGAAGGCUGAACCAGCCAUGCCGCGUGAAGGUCAGUGCCCUAUGGGCGUUAAACUUCUUUUGUGCGGGAGCAAUAAUGGUCACGUGUGGCCAGACGAGAGUACCGUACGAAUAAGCAUCGGCUAACUCCGUGCCAGCAGCCGCGGUAAUACGGGGGGUGCAAGCGUUAUCCGGAUUUAUUGGGUUUAAAGGGUGCGUAGGCUGUGAGGUAAGUCAGCGGUGAAAUGCCCCCGCUCAACGGGGUGAAGUGCCAUUGAUACUGCCUGGCUGGAAUGCGGAUGCGGUGGGAGGAAUGUGUGGUGUAGCGGUGAAAUGCAUAGAUAUCACACAGAACACCGAUUGCGAAGGCAUCUCACGAAUCCGCGAUUGACGCUGAUGCACGAAAGCGUGGGUAUCAAACAGGAUUAGAUACCCGAGUAGUC
rnacentral:rRNA from 1 species